rnacentral:misc_RNA from 1 species
AAGUCGUAACAAGGUUUCCGUUGGUGAACCUGCGGAAGCAUCAUUAACACGUAUCCAAACGUUAAAACCCCCCCCGUGAACCUUCAUCCUGCUCUUGUAACCCGCGUAGUUCGCAAUCUCUGAUAAAUCAUAGCCCGGAAAGUUGUAGUGAUUCAGAGACCUCUGGCUACGUGCUGGCUACGUCUUGGUUCUC